CGUCUCUCGAUCAUCCCUCUCAGGAAGAUGAAGCUGUACAUCAUUUCCUCCUUUGCUCUGCUCCUCCUGCUUGUGUGCAUCGCCCACAAGGUCUAUUUAACGGCCAACGCCACCCCCACCACAAAUACCAGUUCCGGGAUUGGCGCUGCCCUGCUGCUGCCACUGGCCCUUACUCUGAUCCCUCUGCUCCUCACUUGGUGAAGAUGUAAAGACGGAUGGAUCCCGGCACGAUGACUUGAACCCAUAACUUGGUUCCACUUGAUGUGAUUGUCUGCUUUUCACAUCUAGCCAGAUGUUGUACCAUUAGGACCAUUUGAUCUUUCUGAGGUUAGCCACAUUUCAGCUGUCAAAUUGAAGCUUGAGUGCUGCUGUUGAAUGUGUCAGUACUUGUUGUCAACUUGCUGUUCCCUAACAAAAAAGCCUGAACCAAUAAAUAUUUGA